AUUGAACGCUGGCGGAAUGCUUUACACAUGCAAGUCGAACGGCAGCACGGGUGCUUGCACCUGGUGGCGAGUGGCGAACGGGUGAGUAAUAUAUCGGAACGUAUCCAAUAAUGGGGGAUAACUAAUCGAAAGGUUGGCUAAUACCGCAUACGUCCUACGGGAGAAAGCAGGGGACCUUCGGGCCUGGCGUUAAUGGAGCGGCCGAUAUCUGAUUAGCUAGUAGGUGAGGUAAAGGCUCACCUAGGCGACGAUCAGUAGCUGGUCUGUGAGGACGACCAGCCACACUGGAACUGAGACACGGUCCAGACUCCUACGGGAGGCAGCAGUGGGGAAUUUUGGACAAUGGGCGCAAGCCUGAUCCAGCCAUUCCGCGUGAGUGAAGAAGGCCUUCGGGUUGUAAAGCUCUUUCGCAAGGGAAGAAACGAUACAGUCUAAUAAACUGUGUUAAUGACGGUACCUUGAUAAGAAGCACCGGCUAACUACGUGCCAGCCGCCGCGGUAAGAC
rnacentral:rRNA from 1 species